AUUGAACGCUGGCGGCAGGCCUAACACAUGCAAGUCGAACGAGUGGCGGACGGGUGAGUAAUGUCUGGGAAACUGCCUGAUGGAGAGGGAUAACUACUGGAAACGGUAGCUAAUACCGCCUACAAUCGCAUGUGCGCAGCUGGGAGUAGCUAGUAGGUGGGGUCAAGGCUCACCUAGGCGACGAUCCCUAGCUGGUCUGAGAGGAUGAACAGCCACACUGGAACUGAGACACGGUCCAGACUCCUACGGGAGGCAGCAGUGGGGAAUAUUGCACAAUGGGCGCAAGCCUGAUGCAGCCAUGCCGCGUGUAUGAAGAAGGCCUUCGGGUUGUAAAGUACUUUCAGCGGGGAGGCGUUACCCGCAGAAGAAGCACCGGCUAACUCCGUGCCAGCAGCCGCGGUAAUAC
rnacentral:rRNA from 1 species